AGUGAACGCUGGCGGUAGGCCUAACACAUGCAAGUCGAACGGCAGCACAGUAAGAGCUUGCUCUUACGGGUGGCGAGUGGCGGACGGGUGAGGAAUACAUCGGAAUCUACUUUUUCGUGGGGGAUAACGUAGGGAAACUUACGCUAAUACCCAUACGACCUACGGGUGAAAGCAGGGGAUCUUCGGACCUUGCGCGAUUGAAUGAGCCGAUGUCGGAUUAGCUAGUUGGCGGGGUAAAGGCCCACCAAGGCGACGAUCCGUAGCUGGUCUGAGAGGAUGAUCAGCCACACUGGAACUGAGACACGGUCCAGACUCCUACGGGAGGCAGCAGUGGGGAAUAUUGGACAAAGGGCGCAAGCCUGAUCCAGCCAUACCGCGUGGGUGAAGAAGGCCUUCGGGUUGUAAAGCCCUUUUGUUGGGAAAGAAAAGCAGCAGGUUAAUACCCCGCUGUUCUGACGGUACCCAAAGAAUAAGCACCGGCUAACUUCGUG
rnacentral:rRNA from 1 species